CCGUUACUUACAGUUUGUAGUAUUGGUGUUCGGUUCGGCGUUGUGUAGGAUAGCUGGGAGACUGUGAAGCGCUAACGCCAGUUAGUGUGGAGUCGUCGUUGAAAUACCAGUCUGGUCGUGCUGGAUGUCUAACCUGGGUCCGUGAUCCGGAUCAGGGACAGUGUCUGAUGGGUAGUUUAACUGGGGCGGUUGCCUCCUAAAGAGUAACGGAGGCGCCCAAAGGUUCCCUCAGCCUGGUUGGCAAUCAGGUGUUGAGUGUAAGUGCACAAGGGAGCUU
rnacentral:ncRNA from 1 species